CGCUGUAUGUCCUCACUUCUGAGAAAAACCAUGAAAAGAAGAAGCUGAUUGGUUCAUCAGUGGGGCUCAGAGGGUAUUUAAACAUCCUUAAAUCCUGCACCUGAACCCCUGAAUGCCUGCUGACCAGACCAGGUCCUCUACAUGGACAAACAUGGGGUUGUUAGCUGUAAUCUUUUCAGCUUUUCUGCUGAGUGGAUUUUGCAAAGCAGGAACAGCCACAUUAGCAUCACAGUCCACAGGCACCUGCUGGGUCAUGGGCACUCUCCACUCCACCUUUGACAGUCAUCGAUACAC